AGUGAACGCUGGCGGCAGGCCUAACACAUGCCAGUCGAGCGGCAGCGCGGGGGCAACCCUGGCGGCGAGCGGCGGACGGGUGAGGAAUUCGUCGGAAUCUGCCUUUUUGUGGGGGAUAACGUAGGGAAACUUACGCUAAUACCGCAUACGUCCUACGGGAGAAAGUGGGGGACCGCAAGGCCUCACGCAGAAAGAUGAGCCGACGACCGAUUAGCUAGUUGGUGGGGUAAAGGCCCACCAAGGCGACGAUCGGUAGCUGGUCUGAGAGGAUGAUCAGCCAAACUGGAACUGAGACACGGCACAGACUCCUACGGGAGGAAGCAGUGGGGAAUAUUGGACAAUGGGCGCAAGCCUGAUCCAGCCAUGCCGCGUGUGUGAAGAAGGCCUUCGGGUUGUAAAGCACUUUUGUCCGGAAAGAAAUCCCUGGAGCUAAUACCUUCGGGGGAUGACGGUACCGGAAGAAUAAGCACCGGCUAACUUCGUG
rnacentral:rRNA from 1 species